GAUGAACGCUGGCGGCGUGCCUAAUACAUGCAAGUCGAGCGAACGGACGAGAAGCUUGCUUCUCUGUUGUUAGCGGCGGACGGGUGAGUAACACGUGGAUCACCUACCUAUAAUACUGGGAUAACUUCGGGAAACCGGAGCUAAUACCGGAUAAUAUUUUGAACCGCAUGGUUCAAAAGUGAAAGACGGUCUUGCUGUCACUUAUAGAUGGAUCCGCGCUGCAUUAGCUAGUUGGUAAGGUAACGGCUUACCAAGGCAACGAUGCAUAGCCGACCUGAGAGGGUGAUCGGCCACACUGGAACUGAAACACGGUCCAGACUCCUACGGGAGGCAGCAGUAGGGAAUCGUCCGCAGUGGGCGAGAGCCUGACGGAGCAACGCCGCGUGAGUGAUGAAGGUCUUCGGAUCGUAAAACUCUGUUAUUAGGGAAGAACAUAUGUGUAAGUAACUGUGCACAUCUUGACGGUACCUAAUCAGAAAGCCACGGCUAACUACGUG
rnacentral:rRNA from 1 species